rnacentral:rRNA from 1 species
UACGGAGGAUGCAAGCGUUAUCCGGAAUGAUUGGGCGUAAAGCGUCCGCAGGUGGCAAUGUAAGUCUGCUGUCAAAGCGUCUGGCUCAACCAGAUAAAGGCAGUGGAAACUACAUAGCUAGAGUAAGGUAGGGGUAGAGGGAAUUCCCGGUGUAGCGGUGAAAUGCGUAGAUAUCGGGAAGAACACCAGUGGCGAAGGCGCUCUACUGGGCCACAACUGACGCUGAGGGACGAAAGCUAGGGGAGCGAAAGGG